AGUCUGCCUUUGAGCUCUGCUGGUGACCAAAACCUAAAUUGUAGCAGACAAAACACAGUCUUUUAUCAUGAAACAACAUAAACCAGAGCAGAAAUUUAAGGUUCUUCUCUUUUGAAAACUCAGAAUGUCUUUCAAAUAUCUUACCCAUGUGUAACACAUUCUGGAAAUUUUAACCCAAUUUCAUAAUGAGUGUAGACUUGAGAACAGACAUAGUUUAAAGACCAGACAUACUUAUAAGUUAAUUAGAUCUAUGCCUCUCAGGGAUAUAGCAGUGUUCUUAUUCUACAUAUACAUGAAGAAUUUAUAUUUUCACACCAGUAGGAAGUAUACCUACAUUAAGCCUUGGCAACAUGGCCAAACUCAUCUCUACAAAAUAUCAAAAAUUAGCCGGGCAUGAUGGCUCAUACUUGUAUUCCCAGCUACUCAGCAGGCUGAGGUGAAAGGAUCUCUUGAGCCAGGGGAGGUUGAGGCUGCAGAAAGCCGUGAUUGUACCACUGCACUUCAACUUGGGUGACAGAGUGAGACCCUGUCUCAGAAGAAGAAGAAAGAGGAAAGAAGAAAGAAGGAAGAAGAAGAAAAGAAGUAUACCUGCAUAUUAUAUAGAACAAGCUGCAGUGAGGACCUGAUAGUCAAAAUUACUUGGAGGAAAAUCACAGCUCUUCUCCCCUAGAAAGUCUGCUGAGUCUCACCAGGAGAAUCUCACAGGGAGGCUGCCACGAAUUCUCUCUGCAAGGACUGUGAAACUCAGGGUCCUGGAACCUGGGGAGAUCGAGGGACAACUGUACAUCAGCCUGCUGAGAAAUGUUUUGCAGGAUUCAUGAUUGGGAUCUUCGUACUAAGCCUUUCUUGAGGGAGUGUCUCAGACUCAACCAGCCUCAAUUUUCCCAUGAAUCCUUCUUCAUUGCCUUCCUAGAUUGCUACUCCGCAUCUCAGCUGACCCCAUACAAACAAACUCCAAUAGUGUCUCCAAUCGCGUGCUGUGUUAAAUUUUAACUUUAUAACCAACCAUCAUUUGCUACUUCCAUCUAACCAAGCCAGUUUCCUUAUGAUGCACACACUUGUGUUUAGCUCACAAUUUGUUCUACAUGCUUGCUUAUUUAUUCAUUCAGCAAGUAUUUAUUGAGCCCCAACUGUGCACUAGCUGCUGUCUCAGGUGCUGGGGAGACAGGAAGAUCAAAAUAAAACCCCUGCCUUCAA